UGCGAGAGGCGUACGGAACUCAUGGUGUAGGGGUGAAAUCCGUUGAUAUCAUGGGGAACACCGAAAGCGAAGGCAGUACGCUAGUGCAUAUUUGACACUGAAACACGAAAGCGUGGGUAGCGAAUGGGAUUAGAUACCCCAGUAGUCCACGCCCUAAACGAUGAUCUCUCGCUAUUCGGAGUAUCGACCCUCUGAGUGGCUUAGCUAACGCGUUAAGAGAUCCGCCUGGGAAGUACGGCCGCAAGGCUAAAACUCAAAGGAAUAGACGGGGACUUGCACAAGCAGUGGAUUAUGUGGUUUAAUUCGAUGGUAAACGAAGAACCUUACCAAGGUUAGAAAUCCUAGUGAAAGCUCGCAGAAACGCGAGGCCUCGCAAGACUCUAGGACAGGUGAUGCAUGGCCGUCGUCAGUUCGUGGUUUGAAUUGUUCCCUUAAGUGGGGUAACGAACGCAACCCUUGUUGUGUGUUAUAAGUGUCACACGAUACUGCCCCGAACUUUGAGCACAAGCUAAAGUUCUAGUUAAAAGUUUUUAAAGUUCAUGAAGUAUAAAGUAAAUGCAUUUUGUAUUCAACUUUAUAAAUUUCUACUUUUUACUUUAUAACUUGAACUUUGUUUGCGAACAAAGUUCGGGGAGGAAGGAGAGGAUGACGCCAGGUCAGCAUGUCCCUUGAUACCUUGGGCUACACACAUAAUACAAUGACCGUUACAACGCGCAGCGACGAGGCGACUCUGAGCUAAUCGUUCAAAAGCGGCCUCAGUUCGGAUUGAAGUCUGCAACUCGACUUCAUGAAGCUGGAAUUGCUAGUAAUCACAGGUCAGCUAAACUGUGGUGAAUACGUUCUCAAGUCUUGUACUCACCGCCCGUCAAGUCAAGGGAGCCGGGAGUACCCGAAAUCUCUACAUAAGUGGGGCUUAAGGUAAGCUCGGUGACAGGGACUAAGUCGUAACAAGGCACGGCUAGCGGAAGCUGGUCGUGGA
rnacentral:rRNA from 1 species